GGUCUAUAAACUACUGGUUAGGACAAGGUAUGCCUAAAGAAAGACUUAUUGUUGGUCUGGGUACAUAUGGCAUGAGUUAUACCUUGAAGAACUCAGCAAUAAAUGGAUUGGGGUCACCUGCCUCAUCUGGUGGGCGUCCUGGUAGUUAUACAGGAGAAAAGGGAAUCCUCGCUUACUUUGAGAUUUGUGAGAAUCUAAGAUAUAAAGGUUGGAGAUCAGUCUGGAUACCAGAACAACAAUCACCAUAUGCUUACGGUGGAGAUCAAUGGGUUGGAUAUGAUGAUACUAAAAGUAUCGCUAUAAAGGCCAGGUAUAUUGUGCAACAAGGAUUAGGGGGAGCAUUUGUCUGGUCCGUCGAGAUGGACGAUUUUACCGGAAGUUGUGGCGAAGGACUCUACCCUCUUUUGAAUACCAUUAAUAAGAUAAUCAAACCUUCAACAGUUCCUCUUCCGACUCUGAACUUUAGAUCUCAGCGUCCUGAAGAUGGACCCGGAGGAGUAGUAUUGCCACCACAAAGAAAACCAACUAUAAAUCAACCAGCUGCUGCAGUUAGAUCAGGAUCAGUUGAUUUUGGGGCCUUCGUAGGUGUCACUACUGAUGAUACAACGUGUCCUAUAGAUGGUGUAUUCCCAGACCCAGAUAACUGUCAUAAUUUUUACCUGUGUGUGAUAACAGGCCGGAAGUACACUCGCUACCAUCUUGCUUGUCCAGGAAAUACUGGUUAUUUUAAAUGGCCGGCGGGUAAAACUGCCUGUAUGUGGCGACGUGAUUGUCCGUUAUAAAAUAUAUUUUGAAUACAUUUCAUUUUUUA